AUUGAACGCUGGCGGCAUGCCUUACACAUGCAAGUCGAACGGCAGCACGGGAGCAAUCCUGGUGGCGAGUGGCGAACGGGUGAGUAAUAUAUCGGAACGUGCCCAGUCGUGGGGGAUAACGCAGCGAAAGCUGUGCUAAUACUGCAUACGAUCUAAGGAUGAAAGCGGGGGAUCGCAAGACCUCGCGCGAUUGGAGCGGCCGACAUCAGAUUAGCUAGUUGGUGGGGUAAAGGCCCACCAAGGCGACGAUCUGUAGCUGGUCUGAGAGGACGACCAGCCACACUGGAACUGAGACACGGUCCAGACUCCUACGGGAGGCAGCAGUGGGGAAUUUUGGACAAUGGGCGCAAGCCUGAUCCAGCAAUGCCGCGUGCAGGAUGAAGGCCUUCGGGUUGUAAACUGCUUUUGUACGGAACGAAACGGCCCUUUCUAAUACAGGGGGCUAAUGACGGUACCGUAAGAAUAAGCACCGGCUAACUACGUGCCAGCAGCCGCGGUAA
rnacentral:rRNA from 1 species